GAUGAACGCUGGCGGCGUGCCUAACACAUGCAAGUCGAGCGAAGCGCCUUACUUGAUUUCUUCGGGAUGAAAGUAUUGUGACUGAGCGGCGGACGGGUGAGUAACGCGUGAGCAAUCUGCCUUUAGGAGGGGGAUAACAGUCGGAAACGGCUGCUAAUACCGCAUAAUGCAUCAAUUUCGCAUGUUAUUGAUGCCAAAGGAGCAAUCCGCCUUUAGAUGAGCUCGCGUCUGAUUAGCUAGUUGGCGGGGUAACGGCCCACCAAGGCGACGAUCAGUAGCCGGACUGAGAGGUUGAACGGCCACAUUGGGACUGAGACACGGCCCAG
rnacentral:rRNA from 1 species